rnacentral:rRNA from 1 species
GACGAACGCUGGCGGCGUGCUUAACACAUGCAAGUCGAACGGAAAGGCCCUGCUUUUGUGGGGUGCUCGAGUGGCGAACGGGUGAGUAACACGUGAGUAACCUGCCCUUGACUUUGGGAUAACUUCAGGAAACUGGGGCUAAUACCGGAUAGGAGCUCCUGCUGCAUGGUGGGGGUUGGAAAGUUUCGGCGGUUGGGGAUGGACUCGCGGCUUAUCAGCUUGUUGGUGGGGUGGUGGCUUACCAAGGCUUUGACGGGUAGCCGGCCUGAGAGGGUGACCGGCCACAUUGGGACUGAGAUACGGCCCAGACUCCUACGGGAGGCAGCAGUGGGGAAUAUUGCACAAUGGGCGGAAGCCUGAUGCAGCAACGCCGCGUGCGGGAUGACGGCCUUCGGGUUGUAAACCGCUUUCGCCUGUGACGAAGCGUGAGUGACGGUAAUGGGGAAAGAAGCACCGGCUAACUACGU